AGCCUACGGGGCGCAGCAGUAGGGAAUUUUCGUCAAUGGGCGCAAGCCUGAACGAGCAAUGCCGCGUGAACGAGGAAGGUCUUCGGAUCGUAAAGUUCUGUUGAAGGGGAAAAAGAGCGGAGAGAGGAAAUGCUUUCUGAUUGAUAUUACCCUUCGAGGAAGUCACGGCUAACUACGUGCCAGCAGCCGCGGUAAUACGUAGGUGGCGAGCGUUAUCCGGAAUGAUUGGGCGUAAGGGUGCGUAGGCGGCCUGCUAAGUCUGGAGUGAAAGGUACCGGCUCAACCGGUACAGGCACUGGAAACUG
rnacentral:rRNA from 1 species